GAUGAACGCUAGCUACAGGCUUAACACAUGCAAGUCGAACGAAGCACUUACGACAGAUCCCCUCGGGGUGAAGAUGUUUGUGACUUAGUGGCGGACGGGUGAGUAACGCGUGGGUAACCUGCCUCAUACAGGGGGAUAACAGUUAGAAAUGACUGCUAAUACCGCAUAAGCGCACAGUACCGCGUGGUAUGGUGUGAAAAACUCCGGUGGUAUGAGAUGGACCCGCGUCUGAUUAGCUAGUUGGAGGGGUAACGGCCCACCAAGGCGACGAUCAGUAGCCGACCUGAGAGGGUGACCGGCCACAUUGGGACUGAGACACGGCCCAA
rnacentral:rRNA from 1 species